rnacentral:lncRNA from 1 species
UGGUCUUCAAAUUGGAGUAUGGAUACCUCUGGGAGCACACAAAAUGUUUUUAAAGGAAUAUGCUGACACUUGUCUAGUUUUAAGGGACUCAGUUUCCAGAUCCUCAUACCAAUCUGCCUGAGAAAGUGACUGGCAUCUGAGCUUCUCCUUUCUUAUCUCCUAUUUCAUAACCCCCUUCUACCCACUAGACGACGCAAAGGCAAACCAGCCCCCACACCCCAUCUAGACAGUGCACUGUCCCAGGACAGUAAACCUCUAGUGGGCAAAAGAAGGGACUAGCUAAAGAUCCACGCAGGCUUCGACACAGCAAGUUUCUUCAAUGAUUGGAAUUAACUUGGUGACUGAUUAACAAAUCCUUUGCAACUCGGGCUCCCACGCCCCAUGGAAUUACAGGAGCUGUCGUGACAGGGGUGAAGAUCAUGGCUCACCAGCUUUCAAACCCUCCAGCCUCUGUAGCAGCUCUCACUCAAAGUCACAGUUUCUAAAUACCUGCUGCUCUUGGUUAUCUGUUCAGAACUGGAAAAGGCUACGUUCCACGUGCUGGCGUCACACUGUUCUUUCCAGAACAUCUGAUGACUCUGCAGUCAUGAAUGAAUUCUCACAGGGUGGCAGGUGAAAAUUAUUAUUCUCCUUCCAGAUGAGGAAAUGGCUGCCCAGAGUGGACCGUGACUCACUUGGCUCCCUGGAUCUUUUUAAUGAGCGGUUCACACCCAACUGCCCUGACUUAAAAUUCUACAGAAAUCACCCCCGCUUUAGUUUUGGCUUCUUUUUUUCAGAGGAAGCAUGUUAACAUUUAGUGUGCU